rnacentral:rRNA from 1 species
UACGGAGGGGGCUAGCGUUGUUCGGAAUUACUGGGCGUAAAGCGCGCGUAGGCGGAUCUGCAAGUCGGGGUGAAAUCCCGAGGCUCAACCUCGGAACUGCCUUCGAUACUGCGGGUCUCGAGUCCGGGAGAGGUGAGUGGAAUUCCUAGUGUAGAGGUGAAAUUCGUAGAUAUUAGGAAGAACACCAGUGGCGAAGGCGGCUCACUGGCCCGGUACUGACGCUGAGGCGCGAAAGCG